AGGUGCAAUGCCAGGUACAGUAGCAGCCAUACUGAAAACAAGAGGGAAAAGUCAAGCAAUUGCAGAGAGAUGAACCCUGGCAUCAGUGGACUGCACUGGAUCCCUUGAGUGCGAGGGCCCUCUGUGCACGCGGCCCUGGACUACAUGCUUCCUGCCCAUGGCCUCCUACCUCGAAGCAGGUAUUAUUGAGCUAUCUUGUCUACUUAUGUGUUUUAUGA
rnacentral:lncRNA from 1 species